UGGGAUAUAGCUCAGUGGCACAGCACCAGCCUGGCAAGCUCGAAGUCCUGAGUUCAAUCCCUGGUACCAA
rnacentral:tRNA from 1 species